CCUACGGGAGGCAGCAGUGAGGAAUAUUGGUCAAUGGGCGAGAGCCUGAACCAGCCAAGUCGCGUGAGGGAGUACUGCCCUAUGGGUUGUAAACCUCUUUUGUCGGGGAGCAAAAGCCGGACGUGUCCGGCUGUGAGAGUACCCGAAGAAAAAGCAUCGGCUAACUCCGUGCCAGCAGCCGCGGUAAUACGGGGGAUGCGAGCGUUAUCCGGAUUUAUUGGGGUGAAAGGGUGCGCAGGCGGAUUUUUAAGUCAGCGGUCAAAUCGUGGGGCUCAACCCCAUACAGCCGUUGACACUGGGGAUCUAGAGUGUGCGAGAGGUAUGCGGAAUGCGUGGUGUAGCGGUGAAAUGCAUAGAUAUCACGCAGAACCCCGAUUGCGAAGGCAGCAUACCGGUGCACAACUGACGCUCAGACACGAAAGCGUGGGUAUCGAACAGGAUUAGAUACCCCAGUAGUC
rnacentral:rRNA from 1 species